rnacentral:rRNA from 1 species
AUUGAACGCUAGCGGGAUGCUUUACACAUGCAAGUCGAACGGCAGCGCGGACUUCGGUCUGGCGGCGAGUGGCGAACGGGUGAGUAAUGUAUCGGAACGUGCCCAGUAGCGGGGGAUAACUACGCGAAAGCGUAGCUAAUACCGCAUACGCCCUACGGGGGAAAGCAGGGGAUCGUAAGACCUUGCACUAUUGGAGCGGCCGAUAUCGGAUUAGCUAGUUGGUGAGGUAACGGCUCACCAAGGCGACGAUCCGUAGCUGGUUUGAGAGGACGACCAGCCACACUGGGACUGAGACACGGCCCAGACUCCUACGGGAGGCAGCAGUGGGGAAUUUUGGACAAUGGGGGCAACCCUGAUCCAGCCAUCCCGCGUGUGCGAUGAAGGCCUUCGGGUUGUAAAGCACUUUUGGCAGGAAAGAAACGUCGCAGGCUAAUACCCCGUGGAACUGACGGUACCUGCAGAAUAAGCACCGGCUAACUACGUG